AACGGAUAUCUUGGCUCCCGCAACGAUGAAGAACGCAGCGAAAUGCGAUACCUAGUGUGAAUUGCAGAAUUCCGCGAAUCAUCGAGUUUUUGAACGCAUAUUGCGCCCGAGGCUCGCGCCGAGGGCACGUCUGUCUGAGCGUCA
rnacentral:rRNA from 1 species